CAUUGCCUCUAGUAUAUAUGUGAGGUCCAUCCUGCCCAGUGACUAAUCUAGUUAAACGGCCGCGGUACCCUGACCGUGCUAAGGUAGCAUAAUCAUUUGCCUCUUAAUUGGUGGCUAGUAUGAAAGGACAAAUGAGAGCCUAACUGUCUCUUACUUACCAAUAUAAACUAACCUUCAGGCGAAAAGGCCUGAAUAAAAUUAUAAGACAAGAAGACCCUGUCAAGCUUCACUAGAAAACCCUACAAUUGAAAAUAUUAAAAUUAUUCACUCCUAUCGCUUACUAGUUUAGUUGGGGCGACUGGGGACCAAAAAAAGCGUCCCCCACAAAACAAAGGACUAUAAUCCUAAUAAAUGAUCCCUAAACAGGACCAAGAGACAAGCUACUGCAGGGAUAACAGGCUAAUUUUUCCUGAGAGUCCAAAUCGAAGGAAAAGCUUGGCACCUCGAUGUUGGCUUAAGACAACCAUAAAGUGCAGCAGCUUUACAUGGUAGGUUUGUUCACCCUUUAAAGUCUUACGUGAU
rnacentral:rRNA from 1 species